rnacentral:rRNA from 1 species
AAACUAACAAGGAUUCCCCUAGUAACGGCGAGUGAAGAGGGAAGAGCCCAAGAUUGAAAGCUGGCGUCUUCGGCGUCCGCAUUGUAAUCUCAAGAAGUGUUUUCCGCUUCGGACCAAGCCUAAGUCCCCUGGAAAGGGGCAUCAUAGAGGGUGAUAAUCCCGUACAUGGCUUGGAGCGCCCGAGGCUUUGUGAUACGCUUUCUAAGAGUCGAGUUGUUUGGGAAUGCAGCUCAAAAUGGGUGGUAAAUGCCAUCUAAGGCUAAAUAUUGGGGAGAGACCGAUAGCGAACAAGUACAGUGAUGGAAAGAUGAAAAGAACUUUGAAAAGAGAGUUAAACAGUACGUGAAAUUGCCAAAAGGGAAGGGUAGGAGGUCAGAGAUGCGGCCUGGGAUUCAGCCUUGCUUUUGCUUGGUGUUUUUCCCAGAUUGCAGGCCAACGUCGGUUUUGGGCACUGGAGAAGGGUAGGAGGAACGUGGCACCCCUCGGGGUGUGUUAUAGCCUCCUACUGGAUACAGCGACCGAGACCGAGGACAGCAGCGUACUCGCAAGAGCGGGCCUUCGGGCACCUUUACGCUUAGGGCGUUGGCAUAAUGGCCCUCUACCACCCGUCUUGAACCCACGGAC